GGUGGCAUGGAGCACCUACACAAUGAAGUCUAGGGGCUUAUUUGGGAGAUCCUGGUGAUGUGGCAUCACGACUCGAUGAAGAUGGAUGCCUUCCAUAGAUGCGAGCAAUAUGUGACCUUAGUCAUCUUAGAGCAUACUCGAGGACCUUGGCUUCUGUCUGGAGUAUACGUGAGCACUGAGUAUAGGGAGCAGAGGGUGCUUUGGUUCGAGA
rnacentral:lncRNA from 1 species